rnacentral:rRNA from 1 species
GACGGAGGGGGCUAGCGUUGUUCGGAAUUACUGGGCGUAAAGGGCGCGUAGGCGGUUAUGUGUGUCAGAUGUGAAAUCCCAAGGCUCAACCUUGGAACUGCAUUUGAAACUGCAUAACUAGAGUAAGUGAGAGGCGGACGGAAUUCCGAGUGUAGCAGUGAAAUGCGUAGAUAUUCGGAGGAACAUCGGUGGCGAAGGCGGUUCGCUGGCACUUAACUGACGCUGAGGCGCGAAAGCGUGGGGAGCAAACAGG